UACGUAGGGUGCAAGCGUUAUCCGGAAUUAUUGGGCGUAAAGAGCUCGUAGGCGGUUUGUCACGUCUGCUGUGAAAACCUAAGGCUCAACCUUGGGCUUGCAGUGGGUACGGGCAGACUAGAGUGCGGUAGGGGUGACUGGAAUUCCUGGUGUAGCGGUGGAAUGCGCAGAUAUCAGGAGGAACACCGAUGGCGAAGGCAGGUCACUGGGCCGCAACUGACGCUGGAGGU
rnacentral:rRNA from 1 species